UACGUAGGGGGCAAGCGUUGUCCGGAUUUACUGGGCGUAAAGCGCGCGUAGGCGGCUUUGCAAGUCGGGUGUGAAAUCCCCAGGCUUAACCUGGGAACUGCAUUCGAGACUGCAUUGCUAGAGUAUGGGAGAGGGAAGUGGAAUUUCCGGUGUAGCGGUGAAAUGCGUAGAUAUCGGAAGGAACAUCAGUGGCGAAAGCGACUUCCUGGACCAAUACUGACGCUCAUGUGCGAAAGCGUGGGGAGCAAACAGG
rnacentral:rRNA from 1 species